UUGUAAUUGACAAAUAUAAAAAAUACAUUGAACAUUAAACUUCAAAAUUAAAUUUUAAACAUUAACAUCUUCAAACUCCAAAAUCAAAUUUAAACACAAAACCUUCAAUAUUCUAAGAUUCACUCCAACUACACAAUUACAUCGUCAUAAUUGAAUACCCAAGACAAAUGCAACGAAAUCAAAGAAUAUCAUUGACAUCAUUAUCAUCGCGUGAUCUCCUUGCAUUCAUGGGCGAAAUGAGUCCACUAGCCGCAUCACUUGGCUACAUAAAAAUGCAAAGUAUAAAAAUCAAUCGAUAAACUUUCAGUCCUUAUAACUCAUGAUACAAGAAUAAUCAUAGAGAUGAACUUAUGAGAGUGCGCGUCGAAUCCGAGACUCGAAGUGUGCAAGUGAAGUGCAAAGGAACACCAUACCACACACCAAGGACGGGCAAUACACUACAUUCCAUAGGCAUUUUUUGUCUUUCCUUCAUUAAUGGCAUUUGAGACAUUUCACUUAUGUUUGUAAUAAGUUUAUAAAUAGACUAGUUAUAGGUCUUUAGUUCUUUAGUUGCUUAUUGAUAUUGAAAGUUGUAACACUUGAACCAAACUCUCUCUAGUGUGAGGAGUGUACCACCUUAGUUUAGGGCUUGGAAAAGCCAUCAAAUCCGAAAUGAGGGUGAUGCUAGGGUGGAAUCGCUAGUAUUGCCAAACAUUGUUAGAAACCUUAGUGCUUGAGUGGUUCACGCCCUCUUGUGUCAUUGUAAGAGUGUUGGUGUUGCCUAUUACAAGUAUUAAGGGUUUUAGUGUGUGACAUACACUUAGGUUCUUAGUUCUUGUGAGAGUUGAUGUCUCACUUCCUAUCCUUACACUUCUUGUAAUUGUGUUUGUGUGCUUGUUCUAGUAAAGCCGUGUAUUGUUGUUAUCUUGUUGUUGUUUUCUUGUCAUCUCGUGUUCAUCUUAUUAUUGGAUGUUUUUUGUGUAAAAUACACCUUGUAUCAUCUCGUUCUUGUUGUAUUAUUAUUGACCGAGACUUGUUCCCCUUUUGGUCCUCAGUUUGUCUUGUGUUUUGUAUCUUGUUUCUGUGUUAUGAGUUAAUUCCGUUAUCAUUUGGUAUCAAAGCUAAGGCUGGUUGUGUUCCUACACUACCAAUCUUGGGCUCUCUAAGUUGAAAAAUAAAAAAAAAUAAAUGUUGAAAAACUGAAAAUUCCAAAAAGAAGCAAAUCUGUCCAUUCUUGUUAUCUUGGCCGAAAUUAUGUCUUGCUGAUGUUUUGGGCUGAGAUUUGUGUCUAGAUUUCGGUGUGUUUUUGUUUUCUUAGUAGUUUCUUGUGUUAUCUUGUUGUUCACUAACACCCUUUGAGUCUACAGUCCAAGAUUUGAGCUCUUGUUAAAGUGUUGUUAAAGGGUGGACGGCUAAGAGGUUGUUGUUGUUCAUAUUGUUCUUGUAGUAAUGUUCAACAAAAGAAGUUUUUUGAUUUUGAAGAGAUAAGGGAAAGACAAGGCUUUGUGUUUGUCUUGGGAAUACUUUCAAGACAACACCAAAGUGAUAAAGAAACAAAGGGCAUCCAAAAAGCUUAGUUACUAAAAGGGUGAAACACUUUUCAAGAAGAGCCAAAAGAGGAAAGAGACAAGGCUACUACAAAAAGGUGUUUUACCAAAUUAGUGCAAGUUGGUGAAAAGUUGAUGGAAGCCUUUGACUCUUGAAAAGAGAGUCCAAACUUUGUCCACCUACACUACAAUCGAAAAUUCAUCAUCAAGGACAGAGAUUGAACAACUCAAGUUUGAAAAACAUCAUACUUCAACUACAAAAACAAUACGAGUUUAAUUUGUGUGGUAUUGUUGUUUGCGGUUCAAGACUCGAACGUUUGUUGGUGUUGUUGUGUGUGAUAUUUUGGGACUGUUUUUAUGUCCUUUGUUGGCUGUUUUUGUGACAUUGUGGACUGUUUUGGAGCAAUGGAACCCGAGACCUCAUCCCCUCAACCCAUGGUGGACCACAAUGCUACAAGUACCAUUUUGGCCCUCCUUGAUACUAUGUCCCGUACCUUUCUAGGGCGAAUGUAGGUCAUGAAAAAAUUGGCUCGUAUGUGGUAACUAUGAGUGAGAGUUUGAAUCGAAUGGAGAUUCAAAGGAACUCUCGUUCUUUUACUCCCGACACAUUACUUCCAAUGACCAAUCCUCCAAGACUAUCACUUAAUUGCCGCAAGCCAAGCUCCAAAUAGCCCUCAAAACCGAGACAUAACUAGGCCCAUUUCCCCACAAUUUGAUCAAGUCCAACAAGGACUUGGAUGCCAAAUGCCUACACUAAAACCGAAUCCUCCCAUCCAAGAUCCACUUAACCAAAGGCGUCAACUUUCACCAAUUCAUAUUCCUUCCAUCCAAGCUCCACAACCGAAGCUUCGCUUCACUAAACCGACCCUCUUGAUCGAAUCUCCAUAUUACCAAAACCGAUAUAUCUAUGUAGAGGAGAAUGGUAGAAAGGAACAUAAAGGAUAUAGGGUCUACGACAAUGUUUGUAUGAUUGUAGGAGACUUGAAUAGGAUGAGAUUGAAGGUAAAACUCAAGAUGGAGAGGAAGCCAAGAUUCAAAAUAAAGAUGUCAGCCGAGAUGUAUUGUUAUUGAUCUUGUGGGUUCUCCAUGUCUUUCGGACUAUUUUGAGUGGCUUCCUUUAAAUGGCCAAUUGAACGAGGUGAAGCCGUGAAUUUAUGGGCAAAUUCCUCUCAAGAUGGAGAGGAUGAUACAAGAAUAAUCACAAAGAUAAACUUAUGAGAGUGCGUGUCGAAUCCGAGACUCGAAGUGUGCAAAUGAAGUGCAAAGGAACACCAUAUCAUACACCAAGAACGGGAAAUACACUACACUCCAUAGACACCUUUUGUCUUUCCU
rnacentral:lncRNA from 1 species